rnacentral:rRNA from 1 species
AACGAACGCUGGCGGCAUGCCUAACACAUGCAAGUCGAACGAUUGCCUCCGGGUGAUAGUGGCGCACGGGUGCGUAACGCGUGGGAAUCUGCCCUUAGGUUCGGAAUAACAGCUGGAAACGGCUGCUAAUACCGGAUGAUAUCGCGAGAUCAAAGAUUUAUCGCCUGAGGAUGAGCCCGCGUUGGAUUAGGUAGUUGGUGGGGUAAAGGCCUACCAAGCCGACGAUCCAUAGCUGGUCUGAGAGGAUGAUCAGCCACACUGGGACUGAGACACGGCCCAGACUCCUACGGGAGGCAGCAGUGGGGAAUAUUGGACAAUGGGCGCAAGCCUGAUCCAGCAAUGCCGCGUGAGUGAUGAAGGCCCUAGGGUUGUAAAGCUCUUUUACCCGGGAAGAUAAUGACUGUACCGGGAGAAUAAGCCCCGGCUAACUCCGUG